rnacentral:rRNA from 1 species
UACGUAGGGUGCGAGCGUUGUCCGGAAUUAUUGGGCGUAAAGGGCUCGCAGGCGGUUUGUCGCGUCGGGAGUGAAAACCCAGGGCUUAACUCUGGGCUUGCUUUCGAUACGGGCAGACUAGAGGUAUGCAGGGGAGAACGGAAUUCCUGGUGUAGCGGUGAAAUGCGCAGAUAUCAGGAGGAACACCGGUGGCGAAGGCGGUUCUCUGGGCAUUACCUGACGCUGAGGAGCGAAAGCGUGGGGAGCAAACAGG